rnacentral:rRNA from 1 species
GACGAACGCUGGCGGCGCGCCUAACACAUGCAAGUCGAACGGAGCUGAGAGGAGCUUGCUUUUCUUAGCUUAGUGGCGAACGGGUGAGUAACGCGUGAGUAACCUGCCCUGGAGUGGGGGACAACAGUUGGAAACGACUGCUAAUACCGCAUAAGCCCACGGUGCUGCACGGCACUGCGGGAAAAGGAUUUAUUCGCUCUAGGAUGGACUCGCGUCCAAUUAGCUAGUUGGUGAGGUAACGGCCCACCAAGGCGACGAUUGGUAGCCGGACUGAGAGGUUGAACGACCACAUUGGGACUGAGACACGGCCCAGACUCCUACGGGAGGCAGCAGUGGGGGAUAUUGCACAAUGGGGGAAACCCUGAUGCAGCGACGCCGCGUGGAGGAAGAAGGUUUUCGGAUUGUAAACUCCUGUCGUUAGGGACGAUAAUGACGGUACCUAACAAGAAAGCACCGGCUAACUACGUGCCAGCCGCCGCGGUAACAC